rnacentral:misc_RNA from 1 species
AUCGGUUGUAUGAGAACUUCAUCGGCGUCAGCAAUGAGCUCUCCGUAGGACGAAAUGACGGCAUCUACUGCCUGUUGCAGCCCGAUCGCGCCCCGAAUAUUCAAUACCGAUGUGAAGCGUCCUGCGCAUGACUGGGUAGCGCCAUCUUCUAACAAACAACUGGAACGCACGAUGAGCGCGCCCGACGCCCACUCAUUUGAGAACACCUCCUC